AUGGCGGCCACGCCGGCCACCACCAGCCCCCCGCGCCCUUGCCUGCUUCCGCCUCCUCCGGCUUGCCUGCCGCUGGAUUUCAUCCCGCAGGUUAUUUCUGCAGGCGUGUCUUCGCUGCCGGAUCAGGAGGGCGCCAGAUCCAGGUCGUCCGUCCGUUCGUCUUCGCCCCAAGGCCAGAUCCCAGGGGAUGCGCCGGAGGUGCUGAUGCCGGAGACGCCGCUCGAGCUCCAGGGAGCCCAGCCGCGGCUGGCUUCCAUCAUCGUCGUCCCGCCAUCUCGCGGCCAUGGCGCCUCGUCCUCCUCCUGUAGCGGCUCCUCGGCGGAUGCGAGGCGUGAUGCUGAUGCGGCCGGCGAGGGAUGGCAGCUCGUGUGCUCCCGGCGUGGCCCGCGCCUCCCGCCUCCUCCUGCCCCGGCCCCUGCUCGGCGUCCCCUUCUUGCCUGGAUGCAUGGAAGGUGCUGCCGCUGCCUAUUUCCGGGUCAUCGUGCUGUCGUCUGCCGGGAUCCCUUCAGGUGCUCCCGCUGCCUCCGGCCAGGUCAUCGUGCUUGA
rnacentral:rRNA from 1 species